GGGUGAUUAGCUCAGCUGGCUAGAGUACUGCCUUGACAUGGCAGGGGUCACAGGUUCAAGUCCUGUAUCACCCACCA
rnacentral:tRNA from 1 species